rnacentral:rRNA from 1 species
GAUGAACGCUAGCUACAGGCUUAACACAUGCAAGUCGAGGGACCGGCGCACGGGUGAGUCACACGUAUCCAACCUGCCCUUUACUCGGGGAUAGCCUUUCGAAAGAACGAUUCAUACCCGAUAGAAAGGAUGGUGCUGCGUUCCAUUAGGUUGUUGGUGAGGUAACGGCUCACCAAGCCUUCGCUGGAUAUUGGUUCUGAGAGGAAGGGCCCCCACAUUUGAAAUGAGACACGGUCCAAACUCCUACGGGAGGCAGGAGUGAGGAAUAUGGGGCAAGGGGGGCUAGCCUGAACCAGCCAAGUAGCGUGAAGGAGGAAGGCUUAUGGGUCGUAAACUUCUUUUAUAGAAGAAUAUGUAUUAUAUUAAUAAGGAUCGGCUAACUCCGUGCCAGCAGCCGCGGUAAUAC